UCGGGAUGGCAGGAUUCGAACCUGCGAUACUCCUGAAUCCAAACCAGGCGGGCUGACCAAACUGCCCCACACCCCG
rnacentral:tRNA from 1 species